rnacentral:rRNA from 1 species
GAUGAACGUUGGCGGCGUGCCUAAUACAUGCAAGUCGAACGAAGACUGUAGUAAUACUGUCUUAGUGGCGAACGGGUGAGUAACGCGUGGGUAACCUGCCUCAUACUGGGGGAUAACAGCUGGAAACGGCUGCUAAAACCGCAUAAGAUCGCAUCACCGCAUGGUGAGGCGGUUAAAUAUCGAAAGAUAGGUAUGAGAUGGGCCCGCGUCUGAUUAGCUAGUUGGUGAGAUAAGAGCCCACCAAGGCGACGAUCAGUAGCCGGCUUGAGAGAGUGACCGGCCACAUUGGGACUGAGACACGGCCCAAAACUCCUACGGGAGGCAGCAGUGGGGAAUAUUGCACAAUGGGGGAAACCCUGAUGCAGCGACGCCGCGUGAGUGAAGAAGUGCUUCGGCAUGUAAAGCUCUAUCAGCAGGGAAGAAGAUGACGGUACCUGACUAAGAAGCCCCGGCUAACUACGUGCCAGCAGCCGCGGUAAACA